rnacentral:rRNA from 1 species
GCAGUAGCCGCGGGAAUACAGAGGGUGCGAGCGUUAAUCGGAUUUACUGGGCGUAAAGCGUGCGUAGGCGGCUUCUUAAGUCGGAUGUGAAAUCCCUGAGCUUAACUUAGGAAUUGCAUUCGAUACUGGGAAGCUAGAGUAUGGGAGAGGAUGGUAGAAUUCCAGGUGUAGCGGUGAAAUGCGUAGAGAUCUGGAGGAAUACCGAUGGCGAAGGCAGCCAUCUGGCCUAAUACUGACGCUGAGGUACGAAAGCAUGGGGAGCAAACAGGAUUAGAUACCCCCGUAGUCCAUGUCUCUUAUAC